UGAGAUUAGAGAGAAAACUUGAUAAGAUUUCAAUAAGCAUUGAUUUUGGAUGAUUUGGAUUUGUAUUGACUUUCUAAGAGCUUUACAAAGUCAAGGUUUGUUUUAGAUGACUCUGGAUUUGUGAAAUAAAAUAGAAGAAGUUUUUUGGAGAAUUUUGUAAGUUUGGCAAUAGAUCUAUAAGUGAAAAUUUUGAAGGUUUGUAGGUAUAUAUGUGUUCAAUAUAUGUUAUGAGUUUGAGCUUGAUCUAAGAAUUGGAUUGAGGGUUAUUGAGGUUUAGAUGGGUGGAGGUCUUGGAAAAUAGAGUUUUAGAUCUAAUAAGGGAUUUUAAGUUUUUUUGCAAUUUAUUGGUUGGAUUGGAGUGAAAA
rnacentral:lncRNA from 1 species